UCUCUCUCGUUAUUGAAUCUUUUUAUAUCUGUUAGGGUUCUAUUCUAGGGCUUGUAGGCUGGAACUGCGAUUGAUCAUUUCAAGCUAUAAAUCAUUUUGUCACUCAGGCCAUUAUUUGAUUUAGUUCGUGCGAUGAGGCGCUACGACUGUGGAUUAUUUUCAUUGGUCAAUUUCGCGAUGAAAUAAUAAUGUUCAAGUCGUAAUCUAUAUUUCUUGUUGUUCGGCGAGAUCGUAUUUGACUAUUGGGAACUUUCUUGGUGAUAUAUUUGGUUUCUUUUUCUCAGAUUCGGACGGAAGCGAUUUUAUCACGUGAUAAGGUUCAUGGUACAUAUAAAUCCUGUUGAUCUGUCGUGUUCUUGGUUCGCAGUUUCAGAUUCGGGUGGAAGCGAUUUUAUCGCGUGAUAAGGUUCAUGGUACAUAUAAAUCCGGUUCUGGAUUUAAGAACCCGCUUCUAUACCCUAGCAGAUUUGGAGACUUUGCUUUCAAUUCUGUUGAUCUGUCGUGUUCUUGGUUUGCAGUUUCAGGUGUUUUAGUGCGGUAUUACAAUUCUGUUGUUCCGUCUUGUUCUUCCGUCUUUGUAAAUGUUCGAGUCGUAAUUGGUUACAGUCACUUUGUUCGUCGAUUGCAUCUAUAUUUCUAGUUGUUUCGCGAGAUCGUAUUUGACUAUUGGGUACUUUCCUGGUGAUAUAUUUGAUUUAUUUUUCUCAGAUUCGGACGGAAGCGAUUGUAUCGCGUGAUAAGGUUCAUGGUACAUAUAGAUCCUGUUCUGGAUUUAAGAACCCGCUUCUAUACCCUAACAGAUUUGGAGACUUCGCUUUCAAUUCUGCUGAUCUGUCGUGUCUUGUUCUUUCGUCUUUGUACACCCGGUUUACUUCUGCGUCUUCAUCAGUAUCCAAAGCUGUUUUUUUUUUAUUGAUUUUAUGUAUUUAUCUUUUUAAUUUACUAUUGUUUUUAAUUUUGACCGUUACUUUGACUAUGAACAACUUUUUCGCGUGCCCGCUGCAGGAAACGGACGACUAGGACAAGGGCGAAUACUCACCGUCCGAUUUUUUAGCCAACAGCUUAAUCCUCGCCGUCUCUCUUCGCCUAUGGCUCUCCAAGUCGUCAUCCUGUGUGUGGUUUGUCUAAUCUCCACAUUCCUUACUCGGUCCCUGCCUCUCUCUCUCUCUCUCUCUACAACACCCUAGACGUAUGUGCUGUAUGUCUCUAGGGAAAAUUUGGAGCGUUGUAGCCUGUGGGAUCAAGAACAUGAUGUGCUGAUGAGAGCCGAAGUUGCUAUUUAUUUUUCGUCUAUUUAGAUGCUGGUUUAUCUCGUUUGGUUCGUGUGACAUGCUACUUCAGUUCUAGAUUUUUCACCUUGAUAAAUGCUAGGAUGGAAUGACAUUGUUCCAUUAGUAUUGGUGGUAAUUACUUUUAUCAUCGUUGAACUGGAUCCAGGUUUCUAGUUAUCUGAUGAGACUAUAUACUUGGGGAUAUGGAUUUUUUCCCCUGCAGUUAAUUGCUAGACUCAGAUCAAGGCGACUUCAUCACAGGAUGGUGAUUCUUAAACUGGUUUUCGUGGUUCUUGGGACAUCUGGAUUCUGUUUUGGGAUUUUAGGUUGGUCAUCCGUUUCUAUACUUGAUCAGUUGCCGUUGAUGGUACUGCAAUUCCGCUGAUUCAUGUUCUUGGUUUGCAAAUUUAGGUGGUUUAGUGCAGUAUCCGAGUGCUAAUAUGGAUGACUAAUUGAGAGCUUGUUGUCUUUAUAUUUUGUCCGAGAGUUCAUAGAUGCAGGGUUUGAUUCUCCUGCUUCUUUGUUUUAUUUGCUUAAUGGCCUGAUAUAGUAUGCCAUUGUAUACAUGGAGCAAUUUGCGCUGUGCACAAGGAAGAAGGACAGAAAGAACUCAACCAUGAACUUGAAGAUGUUGCUUUAUUUUUAUCCCUCUCUUUUGCUAAGUCACCAUCUUCUUCUUAGAUCGUCUAUUGAGUAUUACUGUGUUCUCUUGAUUAGGUGUGAAAUUGUUGUUGGCAUUAUGUGUCAACAGCGGCAUCAGUUCCACUUUAUUUCUUCUAAGUUUACCAAAGACAAUAUCUGGUUCAAACAUAUUUGUCCCAUGCUUCAGGUGAUGCCUUGAUGCUUGAAUUUCUUGUAAAUUUAUUUUUGUUGUUGCAGGAACUCUGGCACAUGUUUGUUCCCCAUUUCUUAAUAAAAAGUCCAUGUACUUGUUAGAUUAUUGCACCAGUCUAGCUGUCAUUUCCCCAGAUCAUCUGUUGUCGUAGAGUCAUGUGAGUUCUUGGGUAUAUCUUUUUAUUCUUUUUAGUUCUCUCGGUGGCUUGCUGAAGUUUUCCUGCCUUUGACCAUUUCUGUAUAUAUUUUCUAAUUUUGAUUUUAAGAUGGAUAUGGGCUGUGAAUUUAUGUUACAUUAUUGCAACAGUCUAGUUAUCAUUGCUGUCAUUUUCCCAGAUCAUCUGUUGUUGUGGAUGCAUAAAUUGCUUUUGGUGUCACUUUGGAGAGCUUGCAAUUUCACAAUUGUGUUUAUAUCUGAUAUUAUUGGCAAGUUUUUUUUCUUAAUGUUCAUAAAUAACGGUUAUCCUGCUUCUGCAACUAGUUCUGUUUUACAUUGAUAAUGCUGCCUUUUUGGUGGAUUCAGACUAGAGACAAGAUUGAGAGAGAUGUAAAACAUCUGCCAUCUGCAUAUCUGAAGAUAGUAAGAAGUGGGGCUUGUAGUGUACUCUUGUUUCCAAAAGUUCCUACUUUUAGUAUUUCUUCACUUUCUUAACAAUCAGGUGUGUUCUUGGCAUGAUAUUCAAUCACUGUCAUUGAGCUGGCUGAUGCUAGGAAAUGCUUGCAAUUUGGUGCUUUUCGCUUAUUGUGUGGGGAUGUUGUGUUCUUUUCAUUUAGAGUGCAGGAAUAUUGUCAUUUAUUUGUGGGCACGGUUUGUAAUAUCACCUCAGCUGGGGUGCAUUACAGGUACUACACUUUUAGUAUGGUUUCAAUGAGCAAUGCUUGCUCUGUUUGGAUUUUACUAAUGAAUCUCUCUGGCAAUGAUUUUCAUUGCAGAAAGAAGAUAUAUUUUUUAAUGAAUUGUUCUUGUUCUACAGCUGGUUUUUGGUGCGUAUAUGUAUGUCAGGAUUAUGGACGGUAUUGAGCUUAUUGCUUGGUUUUCUUUCAGUUCAGUUAGUUGUUACUGUACCAUUCUGAAUUACUUGCUAAGCUGCUGUACCAUUUGAAAAAUAUUAGAUCAGACAAGAUGUGGAUGUUGAAUCAUCCGAUAUUUGGAGCAUCAACAGUCUCUGGCUUUCCGGUGGGAGUAAUUUGUCAACUCGUGUGUUAUCUAUAUGCCCCACUAGUUCGGUGGAUAGGAUAGAAUAGUCAAGAUUCCUGGCUCAGGAGUAUUUUGGCUUCAAUUUUUGUUGUUUCGGUUAGUAACUUCUAUUUUUCCUUAUCUUUGAGUAGGUCCCAGUAAGAUUUUGUGUUUGAGGGCAGCAUUAAUAUGGAAUUUUACUGAAUGAUUGCCAACUUUGGAUGAAAGGGGCAAUUUUUACUUAAUACAUGUUUCAGAUAUUUUUUCAACAUGUUACUUGUAAGGAUAUCAUUUAAAAAUGUUUGAUUCAGAGGCAGCAUCCAGUCAAAGUGCCUGCAGCUCCAAACUUGUUCUUAUCUUUUGAAACCUAAACCAAGAUGUUCCAUGAUCUCUCUAUUUGGUGACUUGCUAGACUAUGGAUUGUUGUGAUGGAAGCUAAUAUGAAUUUGAUCUUCCCUGUGACCAAUCUUUGUGGUGAAGGAUCCAAGUUGGUACUCAAUUCCUGCAAAUGGUUUAAUCCACUUCUAUGGUGACACAAUUCUUUGCUGAUGCAGAUGGUUAUUCUUUUUUUUUUAGCUUGGAUGUCUUGGUUUCAUUGAGCACGGAGCACGUGCUGAUGCAGCUAAGACAUUUUGGACAACCCUACUUUGUGAUUUUUGACCAUGAUGUUAUUGGGUGGGAUUUGUUGCAUGGUAUUUCGUGCAACAGCAUUACUGUAAUUCUGGAUGGGUUACCUUAUUCAAUGCUGAUAUGAAAUAACUUUCUUUCAGUUGUAAUUGGGGAUAAUCAUCGUUCUGUAAAUAGGAUCCUGAAUUCUUUUUCUGUUGCUGAAUCCUAACUGCUUUUCUCCAUUUUCAUUACAUUUGGAUUCUCUUGGAUUAUAGAUUGAAAUGAUCUACUUCCUUAUAACGUCCCAACUUUCCUGUGAUGGUGUUAUGAUUCUGUUGAUCAGUGUUCUUGGUUUGCAGUUUUAGGUGUCUUAGUGCGGUAUCCAAAUGCUAACAUGUAUCCAAAUGGUUCGCCUGCUUUUUUAUUGAAUUCGGUCAGGAGUUGAUAUAGAGUUACUGGUUCUCUAGUUUCUUGGUACAUCUGUUUCGGAUCUCGUAGCCCUAACAAAUAAGAAGACAAUCUUAUUUAGUUACACUUGGUGUUGUUUCCCAUUUCCUGUUU